rnacentral:rRNA from 1 species
CAGGACGAACGCUGGCGGCGUGCUUAACACAUGCAAGUCGAGCGGUAAGGCCCUUUCGGGGGUACGCGAGCGGCGAACGGGUGAGUAACACGUGGGUGACCUGCCCUUAGCUCUGGGAUAAGCCUGGGAAACUGGGUCUAAUACCGGAUAUGACUCCAUGACGCAUGUUGUGGGGUGGAAAGCCUUGUGCGGCUAGGGAUGGGCCCGCGGCCUAUCAGCUUGUUGGUGGGGUGAUGGCCUACCAAGGCGACGACGGGUAGCCGGCCUGAGAGGGCGACCGGCCACACUGGGACUGAGACACGGCCCAGACUCCUACGGGAGGCAGCAGUGGGGAAUCUUGCGCAAUGGGCGAAAGCCUGACGCAGCGACGCCGCGUGAGGGAUGACGGCCU